rnacentral:lncRNA from 1 species
CUGCGGGCGGAGCUGUUCUGGGCCGUGAGGAGUGAGAGAGGGGCUGUGGGCGGGUUUAUCCAGAAGAGCUCGGCGGGGCUUAGGUAGGAGUUGGGGGCGGUGUUUCCAUGAGUGACAUAGGCUCUGGGGGCCUGACAGCAAGGAGUGAGAUGGGAGCUCUGGGUGGGCUUGUCCAGAGGAGCUUGGCGGGACUGCAAGGAGUGAGCCUGGAAGACAUUGACUCCACAUCUUGGAGAGUGUGGCUACGUGUGCGACUCUGUACAUGAGUAGAAGUGGGAUAUCUGGAGCCUAUCUUCCAGACUUCUUUGAGGAAGGCCUUAAGAAAUAAGGAGUGGCAUGGAGAUCCUGGCCUGAGCCUUGAAGAUUACAGACUGAAAUAGGCAGUGAAAAGCCUCCAGCCUGAAAAGAAGAAAAAGGCGCUUUGGGCCCUUAGGGCCUCCAUCACAAAGGUCCUCUAGGGUAUGUCCUGUUGAGAGCCGCAGCCGAAACGGCCCCAGCAAACUUCCAGCUGAUUGGCUCCUCUGCAGUAGUGCUCAUUGGGCUGUUUCCCCGCCCUUUCAGACCACGGAGCUGCUCAUUUGGGGAACUCUUUUGGCUCCACCAACACGACCCAGCCAAUCUGCCUCAAGAGCAGGACCUAAGGGUUCCAGUUGAGGUGCUCAAAUUCCCCAAAGAGCCCGUGGUGGCAGUUGGGCUCUUGGGGAAUUCCUGGAGAGCUCACGUGGUGUG